UACGGGGGGAGCAAGCGUUGUUCGGAUUUACUGGGCGUAAAGAGCUCGUAGGCGGUCUGUCGCGUCUGCUGUGAAAACUCGGGGCUUAACCCCGGGCCUGCAGUGGGUACGGGCAGACUAGAGUGCGGUAGGGGAGACUGGAAUUCCUGGUGUAGCGGUGAAAUGCGCAGAUAUCAGGAGGAACACCGGUGGCGAAGGCGGGUCUCUGGGCCGUAACUGACGCUGAGGAGCGAAAGCGUGGGGAGCGAACAGG
rnacentral:rRNA from 1 species